AUGUUCACGGCUUUCCAGGUGGACGAACAUACGUUCAAGGUGUGUUCUAUUUUGGGCAUGUCAGAUUCAGAACCUGAAGACCCGGACAAAGGAAGGAACUACUUCGUCAAAGCCUCGAUAGGCGAAGGCGAGUACUACUGCCAAUGCUGCAAGUUCGAACGGGACGUCAUUGUGUGCUGUCACAUACUAAAAGUAAUGGACAUGAACGCUAUGACACGGAUGCCCCGCCAUUUCAUAAGGCGACGAUGGACUUGGGAUGCUGACGACGCGUUGGCGCCGCAGACAACACACGCAGUUCUGGCUGUGCAUGACGAGAGACCUGAGUCAACCAUGGAAGCCGUGAGGCACGUUGUGCUGACAAAGAACUAUGCUGAGCUAAUUGAUGAAGCGUGCAAGAGUGAUGAGCCAGCGAGAGUCGCAGAAAAACACAGGAGGCACUGA
rnacentral:rRNA from 1 species